rnacentral:rRNA from 1 species
CUGCAACUCGCCUGCGUGAAGUCGGAAUUGCUAGUAAUCGCAGAUCAGCAUGCUGCGGUGAAUACGUUCCCGGGCCUUGUACACACCGCCCGUCACACCAUGGGAGUCGGAAAUGCCCGAAGUCGGUGACUUAACCGAAAGGAGAGAGCCGCCGAAGGCAGGUCUGAUAACUGGGGUGAAGUCGUAACAAGGUAGC